rnacentral:rRNA from 1 species
AAGGGGGAGGUAGUUCAGGUGUUCAAGGAGAGGGUAUUUAAGGAGGGCCCUUGGGAGGAAGGAGGGGAUGCGGACAAUGUGUGGAUGAAGAUGGCGACUUGCAUUCGUAAGGUGGCCUCGGAGGAGUUUGGAGUGUCCAGGGGAAGGAGAAGCGAAGAUAAGGAUACCUGGUGGUGGAAUGAUGAUGUCCAGAAGGCGCUUAAAGAGAAGAAAGAUUGCUUCAGACGCCUAUACCUGGAUAGGAGUGUAGACAACAUAGAGAAGUACAAGAUGGCGAAGAAGGCCGCAAAGCGAGCUGUUGGUGAAGUAAGGGGUCGGGCAUAUGAGGACCUCUACCAACGGUUAGGCACGAAGGAAGGUGAAAGGGACAUCUAUAAGAUGGCUAAGAUCCGAGAGAGGAAUACGAGGGAUAUUGGCCAAGUCAAAUGCAUCAAGGACGGAGCAGGCCAACUCUUGGUGAAGGACGAAGAGAUUAAGCAUAGAUGGCGGGAGUACUUCGACAAGCUGUUCAAUGGGGAGAAUGAGAGUUCUACCAUUGAACUGAAUGACUCCUUUGAUGAGACCAGCAUGCGUUUUGUGCGGCGCAUCCAGGAGUCUGAGGUGAAGGAGGCUUUAAAAAGGAUGAAAGGAGGCAAGGCGAUGGGCCCUGAUUGUAUCCCCAUUGAGGUGUGGAAAGGUCUCGGGGACAUAGCGAUAGUAUGGCUAACCAAGCUUUUCAACCUCAUUUUUCGGGCAAACAAGAUGCCAGAAGAAUGGAGACGGAGUAUAUUAGUACCAAUCUUCAAGAACAAGGGGGAUGUUCAGAGUUGUACUAAUUACCGUGGAAUUAAGCUGAUGAGCCAUACAAUGAAGCUAUGGGAGAGAGUCAUUGAGCACCGCUUAAGAAGAAUGACAAGCGUGACCAAAAAUCAGUUUGUUUUCAUGCCUGGGAGGUCGACCAUGGAAGCCAUUUUCUUGGUACGACAACUUAUGGAGAGAUAUAGGGAGCAUAAGAAGGACUUGCAUAUGGUGUUCAUUGACUUGGAGAAGGCCUAUGAUAAGAUACCGCGGAAUGUCAUGUGGUGGGCCUUGGAGAAACACAAAGUACCAGCAAAGUGCAUUACCCUC